ensembl:lncRNA
AACUGUUUUAAAUUCAUUUUAAAUAAGUACAUUUUUAAAUCAUUUACAAUGUUUUAAAAUAGCUUGUUUUAUGUUUUAAAAUUGCUUGUUUUAUUUUUGUUAUUAUUUUUCUUCAUGAUUAUUUUACUUUCUUUUAUGUAAAGCACUUUGAAUUACCAUUGUGUACGAAAUGUGCUAUAUAAAUAUACUUGCCUUGCCUAAAAAUCUCAUGUGAAAUCUGAAGCUUGUCCUUCUUCCAUUUGCGCUCUGCUCGUCUACAAACUUGUCGGAGGGCACGAGUGGAUUUAUUUAAGCAAGGUUUUGCAUGCUUAACCUUCAGAGAGCAACAGAAUACUGGUACAUGUAGAGUUAAACAGAGAGAGUAACUCUUCAGCACAUAAUUGGGAAGAUGAGUCUACACAAUCCAAAUUUAGAGGACAAGAAACAACAAUGUAAGCAGUGCACAAGUCAUUAAUAGAUGCAGAAUUCACUGUACGGAAACAGCGGGCAGCCACACAUGGUUUAACAACAGAACAAGGUAGAGAAAUGUCACGGUAGGUAGUGUGAGCAGUUAACCAGUGCACAUAGCACAGGGUUAGUUAAAUCAAUCUGCAACAACUGCAGUUCAAAACUGGAGUAUACAUCAGUCUCCAGUCUCCAUAAGUCAGUCUAGUAAUUUGAUUAUAUUCAGUAUCCUGCUGAUUUGUAGUCAGGAGACACACAAAUGACACAAAUCUGUGUUUAUGAUGAAGAUGAGCAUUAGAUGAACUGAGAUCAGAUCAAGAGUCUGUUUGACGUGUUUCUUCAUACAAACUUUAAUUCUGUGAAUGUUUGUAUAAUUUGGGUCUGAUUUUAAUUAACGAUGUCUUUAGAUUUUCGUACAAAUCUUACUUCUGUGUGUGUGUGUGUGUGUGUGUGUGUGUGUGUGUGUGUUUUGUUCUUCAGGUCCGGAUCGGUUCUGCUGGUUUGCUCAAUUAGAUCCCUGUUACACAGCUCUGGGAGACAAAUUCAAUCUGAUGAUGGAGUGGGACACUAGAAAAUAUGACCUGAAGAUAUAUAAGAGGAUAAACAACAACACACAAUAUGGUCCAGUUUGUAGAGUAAAGAAUGGCAGGAUGAGGAUGAGUGAAUGUGAUCUUUAUAAUAACAGACCUGAAGUGUCAGUCAUUAAUGGGAUUUUAAUAAUAAACCGUGUGAUCAGAGCAGAUUCUGGGAAUUACAGAUUAACACUCUUUCACUCAAACGGCACAGAAACAUCUAGAGAUCUUCAAGUGAUUGUUGAAGCUCCUAUUGGCUCAGUGGAAGUGUCAAUCAGCUGCUCCUCCAAUCAGAGGUCAGUGUCCUGCUCAUCUGACGGGGAUCACAUCAUCUACAGCUGGACUCUGAAUGGAGAAAUACUAGAACAAGGACCAAUGAAUGGAAACACCACCAUUCAGCUAAAUGAGGGAACUGAUGGAGACAUCAGCUGCAGCGUGAAGAACCACGUCAGUCACACACAGAAGACCAUUAGACUAGUCUGUCCUACAGUGUGUUCAGUGUCUGUGGUGUUUGUUCUGGUCUGGUGUCUCCAGCUGAUGGUUCUGUUCGGUCUGUUAGGAGGUUUUCACAUCUACAUGAGACACACGUCAGGAAAGAAACAGGAAGAGGAGAAAGUGAGAAUGAGAAGAUUUAGAGAGAGACAUGAACACACAGCAGAAGAUUCAUGAGAGCAGCAGCAGAUCUUCACAUCUGUGAGAAAUGAGUUCAGAAUCAGUCCAGCUUUCACCUGUCAACAACAGAUCUUAUAUAAAACCAAGAGAUUCAUUAAACCAGGAGAUAUGAAUUAACCAGAUUUUCUACAGUUUUAGUUAUGAAGAUUAUUUUCUGGACAGCUGUGUUUUGUAAUAGUUUUAUUGCUUAUUUUAUUCAUUUGUCUUUCCUCUUUGAAUGAACUAGCAGUAUUUUUAUGUCAUUAUAUGAAACUCCUUCUGUUCAUCUGUGAUCAAACUCUUUUAUUUCUCUGAAUCAGAUCUGUCAGAUCGUGAACUCAUUCUGUGUGUUUAUUUUCACAUUUCUGCUCUUGCUCUUUUACUUUAUUCUUGAUUUGGUUGAUUUCUCUUUAUUUUCAGUGUCUGUUUAGAUGUUUAAACUGUUUGAAGCUCUUCAUCCGUGUCUCAGUUUUGCAGCGUCUGGUGUUUCCUGACUGUGGUUUUGCUUGAAUUUGCAGUUUUUACAUGACUUUUAACAUGUUAACCACAUUUGUGCAUUUUUCUUCACAAGAUAUUUGUGUCAUUUUAGAAUAUUGAUAAGCCGUUCUUUAGAAAUUGUAAUAGGCUCAUUGCUGAAUUUGUUAUGCUUAACUUUUUUGAGGUAAAUGGAAAUAAAACACUUUGAAGUUAAAAAGUAUUUCA